GCGCCUGAAGAGGAGCCUGCGGCGGAUUAGCUAGUUGGUAGGGUAACGGCUUACCAAGGCGACGAUCCGUAACCGGCCUGAGAGGGCGGUCGGUCACACUGACACUGACAUACGGGUCAG
rnacentral:rRNA from 1 species